rnacentral:rRNA from 1 species
AGACUGAACGCUGGCGGCAUGCCUUACACAUGCAAGUCGAACGGCAGCGCGGGAGCAAUCCUGGCGGCGAGUGGCGAACGGGUGAGUAAUAUAUCGGAACGUGCCCAGUAGUGGGGGAUAGCCCGGCGAAAGCCGGAUUAAUACCGCAUACGACCUGAGGGUGAAAGCGGGGGAUCGCAAGACCUCGCGCUACUGGAGCGGCCGAUAUCAGAUUAGCUAGUUGGUGGGGUAAAGGCCUACCAAGGCAACGAUCUGUAGUUGGUCUGAGAGGACGACCAGCCACACUGGGACUGAGACACGGCCCAGACUCCUACGGAGGCAGCAGUGGGAAUUUUGGACAAUGGGCGCAAGCCUGAUCCAGCAAUGCCGCGUGCGAGGAAGAAGGCCUUCGGGUUAGUAAACUGUCUUUUGUCUAGGAAGAAAUCUUCGUGGACUAGUAUCCCGGAGGAGUGACGGUAC